rnacentral:rRNA from 1 species
UGCAAGUCGAACGAGACCUUCGGGUCUAGUGGCGCACGGGUGAGUAACGCGUGGAAACCUACCAUUCUGUACGGAAUAACGAUUGGAAACGAUCGCUAAUACCGUAUACGCCCUGUGGGGGAAAGGUCCGCCGCAGAAUGAGGGGUCCGCGUCCGAUUAGCUUGUUGGUGGGGUAAAAGCCUACCAAGGCGAUGAUCGGUAGCUGGUCUGAGAGGAUGAUCAGCCACACUGGGACUGAGACACGGCCCAGACUCCUACGGGAGGCAGCAGUGGGGAAUAUUGGACAAUGGGGGCAACCCUGAUCCAGCAAUGCCGCGUGUGUGAAGAAGGCCUUAGGGUUGUAAAGCACUUUCAAUGGUGAAGAUGAUGACGGUAGCCGUAGAAGAAGCCCCGGCUAACUUCGUGCCAGCAGCCGCGGUAUACGAAGGGGGCGAAGCGUUGUUCGGAUUACUGGGGCGUAAAGGGCGCGCAGGCGGCAAUCCAGUCAGGUGGGGAAAGCCCCGGGCUUA